UGGGGAAUAUUGCACAAUGGGCGCAAGCCUGAUGCAGCAACGCCGCGUGAGGGACGACGGCCUUCGGGUUGUAAACCUCUUUUGGCAGGGAAGAAGCGAAAGUGACGGUACCUGCAGAAAAAGCACCGGCUAACUACGUGCCAGCAGCCGCGGUGAUACGUAGGGUGCAAGCGUUGUCCGGAAUUAUUGGGCGUAAAGAGCUCGUAGGCGGUUUGUCGCGUCUGCUGUGAAAACCCGAGGCUCAACCUCGGGCCUGCAGUGGGUACGGGCAAACUAGAGUGCGGUAGGGGAGAUUGGAAUUCCUGGUGUAGCGGUGGAAUGCGCAGAUAUCAGGGGGAACACCGAUGGCGAAGGCAGAUCUCUGAGCCGUAACUGACGCUGAGGAGCGAAAGCAUGGGGAGCGAACA
rnacentral:rRNA from 1 species